rnacentral:rRNA from 1 species
GAUGAACGCUGGCGGCGUGCCUAAUACAUGCAAGUCGAGCGAACGGACGAGAAGCUUGCUUCUCUGAUGUUAGCGGCGGACGGGUGAGUAACACGUGGAUAACCUACCUAUAAGACUGGGAUAACUUCGGGAAACCGUAGCUAAUACCGGAUAAUAUUUUGAACCGCAUGGUUCAAAAGUGAAGGACGGUCUUGCUGUCACUUAUAGAUGGAUCCGCGCUGCAUUAGCUAGUUGGUAAGGUAACGGCUUACCAGGGCAACGAUGCAUAGCCGACCUGAGAGGGUGAUCGGCCACACUGGAACUGAGACACGGUCCAGACUCCUACGGGAGGCAGCAGUAGGGAAUCUUCCGCAAUGGGCGAAAGCCUGACGGAGCAACGCCGCGUGAGUGAUGAAGGUCUUCGGAUCGUAAAACUCUGUUAUUAGGGAAGAACAUAUGUGUAAGUAACUGUGCACAUCUUGACGGUACCUAAUCAGAAAGCCACGGCUAACUACGUG